rnacentral:siRNA from 1 species
CGUCAAAUAUUAUGUGCCUUGGAG